rnacentral:tRNA from 1 species
CCUUGGUUGGUGUAAACGGUUAACACACUCAGCUGCUAACUGAAAUGUUGGAGGUUUGAACCUACCCAGAGGC